rnacentral:rRNA from 1 species
CCUACGGGUGGCAGCAGUGAGGAAUAUUGGUCAAUGGACGAGAGUCUGAACCAGCCAAGUAGCGUGAAGGAUGACUGCCCUAGGGGUUGUAAACUUCUUUUAUAAAGGAAUAAAACGAGCCAUGUGUGCCUUUUUGCAUGUACUUUACUAAUAAGGAUCGGCUAACGCCGUGCCAGCAGCCGCGGUAAUACGGAGGAUUCGAGCGUUAUCCGGAGUUAUUGGGUUUAAAGGGAGCGUAGUGGGGUUGUUAAGUCAGUUGUGAAAGUUUGCGGCUCAACCGUAAAAUUGCAAUUGAUACUGGCAGUCUUGAGUACAGUAGAGGUAAGCGGAAUUCGUGGUGUAGCGGUGAAAUGCUUAGAUAUCACGAAGAACACCGGUGGCGAAGGCAGCUUACUAGACUGUGACUGACAGUGAUGCUCGAAAGUGUGGGUAUCAAACAGGAUUAGAUACCCGAGUAGUC